rnacentral:sRNA from 1 species
AGCUGAUUGGCGGGAUCCCU